CCUACGGGUUGCAGCAGUGGGGAAUAUUGCACAAUGGGCGCAAGCCUGAUGCAGCCAUGCCGCGUGUAUGAAGAAGGCCUUCGGGUUGUAAAGUACUUUCAGCGAGGAGGAAGGCAUUAAGGUUAAUAACCUUAGUGAUUGACGCUACUCGCAGAAGAAGCACCGGCUAACUCCGUGCCAGCAGCCGCGGUAAUACGGAGGGUGCAAGCGUUAAUCGGAAUUACUGGGCGUAAAGCGCACGCAGGCGGUCUGUUAAGUCAGAUGUGAAAUCCCCGGGCUCAACCUGGGAACUGCAUUUGAAACUGGCAGGCUUGAGUCUUGUAGAGGGGGGUAGAAUUCCAGGUGUAGCGGUGAAAUGCGUAGAGAUCUGGAGGAAUACCGGUGGCGAAGGCGGCCCCCUGGACAAAGACUGACGCUCAGGUGCGAAAGCGUGGGGAGCAAACAGGAUUAGAUACCCGGGUAGUC
rnacentral:rRNA from 1 species